AAAAUUCUUUACUAUAUGGCUGUAAAAUUAUUUAAAUAGGCUUUUAAACUGCGUCGUUCAUUGGCCAAUGCAGUAGUAUUUGAACUGAAAACUACAUCUAGUUAUUACAUUUGACAAUCCGAUUUGCUGAUGUAAAGUUGGUAAAUUUGUAAUAAAUUGAUUGCUUUUACGGUAAGAUAAAUUAUUGUUGUGUGCAUUUUACGUAACUUGUACUAUAAAAUUGAAGAUUGUUUAAAAGAAAUCGUUUCUUCUUAUAAUAUGCAGAUAUUAUGCAAGCAAAUGCAUAGAAGAAAUAUAAUGCCCAAGAGAGAAAAUAUCGCUGAUGGCCUGUGUUGGGUGCUCAAGUGCUGAAACUUAUAUGCUUAAUGCUGUCUACCCAAAUUUAUUACUUGACCAACUCAGACUAUCACCGAUUCAUUUAAAGAAAUUUACAGCAUUGCUUUCAAACUCUGAAGAACAAGAUUCCAACUAUUAAAUAACACUUGGACAUGCUAGAAUAAAGAGAUAAAGAAAGGCUUCAUCAUAUGUUACAGGAGUUAUUAGUCUUAAAUCUGGAAAUAU